AGUGGGAUAGCUGGGUCAAAUGGUGGUUCCAUUCCCAGUUUCCAACUAAUCUCCACAUUGUUUUCCAGAUUGGCUGCACCAAUUUGCAGUCCCACCAGCAGU
rnacentral:pre_miRNA from 1 species